GAUGAAGAACGUAGCGAAAUGCGAUAAGUAAUGUGAAUUGCAGAAUUCAGUGAAUCAUCGAGUCUUUGAACGCACAUUGCGCCCCCUGGCAUUCCGGGGGGCAUGCCUGUCCGAGCGUCAUUUCUGCCCUCCAGCCCGGCUGGGUGUUGGGCGCUGUCCCCCCGGGGACACGCCCCAAAGGCAGUGGCGGCGCCGCGUCGGGUCCUCGAGCGUAUGGGGCUUUGUCACCCGCUCGGGACGGACUCGUCGGCGCUGGUCUUCCUCCAGGCGACCCUUCGGGGCUCGUCUUCCUUCGGUUGACCUCGGAUCAGGUAGGGUUACCCGCUGAACUUAAGCAUAUCAUAAGCGGAGGA
rnacentral:misc_RNA from 1 species